rnacentral:lncRNA from 1 species
GUUGUACUUUUCUUAAUUUUCUUAAAGUAUCUAUACAUUAUCUAUUCUUUUGUUAGAAUUCCACGAAUGAAAAACACAUUGUUGCAAAGCUUGAUAGAGAGAGAGAGAUGGCAUCUUCGCGUCAGUGAGCGAACGAACCGGUGGAAGGAAUGAAGUCGUCAUUAACUUGCUUGAUUGUUCUGCUGUGCUUUCGACUGUAUCUUACCUUUCAAAACGUCGUGUUAUUAAACGGUAUCUUGUGAUUAUCAGAAUGUCCUGCAAAGCAGGAAAUCUCAUGUGAGAGCCUGCGCACGACUGAGGGGUUUACUUACCCGGUGCCCUUGAACAUUCCAAACUCCGGAUAUUGCGAGUAUGCGUGGUAUAAGAAUGGAACAUGCAUUUUUCAUUCAGAUGGCAAAAGGUUAGGAUUUGUAGUAGCUGGGACACAUGAGACACUGACGGUCAACAGCUGUGAGGACCUGCAGUGGGAGCUUCGCUGUGACAGCAUUCAGUUUCACUGUACUGUCAGUUACACAGGUAAACAUCAUAAAGCAUUAUACCUUAUACAUGCUCUAGAAACUGUUUUGGGACUUUUUUAAUUUGUUGUUUUUCAGUACAUAUAAAGUGUGCAAUUUUGUGUUUUUGUCUAAAGUUAUAGACCCUGAGGGACAAGAUGGCAACCACAAUGGUGGUUUACCUGACUGGGGUGCUGCUUUAAUUGGGAUUGGAACUGGGAUUGGGAUUGUUGGUGCAUUAAUCGCAGUUUGGUUUUACCAUCGAAAUGGUGAAAACACGUCAAAUUACUAAUAUUCGGAAUGAAGUGGUGGUUCUGGACUGUUAACCAUAAGCGGUGAUCUUGUGCUAUUGCCAUUGUCACUUAUCUAGCCUAGCAUUUUGCUGUUUUGGCAGCAUAUCACAGCUUUGUAGAUUCUAGUGCUAGUUUGUCUUCUUUAAAUCUAAAAGCAAUUGUGACACUGUCUUGUGCUACAAGGCAAAACUACUGUAAAGAGGGCACUGACACAAAAAAGAAAAGUUAUAUUUUAUAUAUAUAUAUA